rnacentral:piRNA from 1 species
UCUGUGGUGAUCUUCCUCUUUGUAGGUUGGU